rnacentral:rRNA from 1 species
AGCCAUUCGAAAUUAUGAAAGGUAAAGCCUGCCCAGUGGCAAUCUCAACGGCUGCGGUAUUUUGACCGUACAAAGGUAGCAUAAUCACUUGUCCCCUAAUUAGGGACUGGAAUCAAUGGCAAAACGAAAGCUUAACUGUCUCAUUCAUACUUAUAAAAACUUACCUUCAAGUGAAAAGGCUUGAAUAAAACAAGAGGACAAGAAGACCCUAUGGAGCUUUAGGAAAUAAGUCCACCUAGUUUCAUAUUUAUAGAAGAAUCGUAGGACCUAUAACUUUGGUUGGGGCAACCGGAGUACAAUAGAACCACUCCUAAAAGAACUACUGAUAAGUACACACUUACGAACAGAAGAUCCUAAAAUUAAGAUCAGGAGAAUAAGUUACCCUAGGGAUAACAGCGUAAUUCUUCCUAAGAGCUCACAUCGAAGGAAGAGGUUGCGACCUCGAUGUUGGACUAGGACAUCCCACAGGUGUAGCAGCUUGUAAUGGUGAGCCUGUUCGGCUCUUAAAGUCCUACAU